rnacentral:lncRNA from 1 species
UUUUUUUUUUUUUUUUUUAAUAAAAAGACGAGCCACUAAUGGUCUGCAAAUAGCAAUGGGGAGCAUAAAGAAAAGCAAACGUACCUUCUGAACUUAAUGUACAUGGAGUGUAAGAGAAUAAACCACUUUCCUUGGAGAAAACUACAAUGGAAAUGGCGUCUUCAGGGUAGAGUUAAAGCCCUAGGGUGGAGAAACACUCCGGAAACAGCUUUAAGAUACAGGAGCGGCAAUGACAGAGUUUGGGAGGUGGGGAAGAGAAUGGCCGAUUGCAUGACAGGCUAGGAAGAACAGAAUAUCAUGGGAUGAAGGUGUGGGAAAAGAUUCCCCAGGUGGCUUCCUCUUUGUGGAGGGACUAAUGCAGCCGUCUUCCUGGAAUCUCUCCGCAGAGGGUGGCUAGCGGCUAGAGAACGCGUGCUACGGAACUAUAGAGAAACUCAGUUUAAGUUGAGUGGGAUUUUAAUUAUCUUACUACCUCAUUCUUUUGGCAUGUCCACCAAGUUCUACGUGUAUUUUGGCCCAUUUCCUCCUGGCUAAAGAGCACUUUCACCUUCUGGCAAGUGACCUGGGUUGACUUGAAGAAUCCUGAUACACUUUUCUUCAGGGUGGAUUUUUUUUUUUUCGGUUUAGCAUUUUAUUAAGUUUUGCCCAUUGAUUUGGCUUACCCUUAACUGUAGGGAAUAUUUGUUUCUGAUCUAAAUCUGUAAGUUUUAUGCUGUCUGCUGCAGACUGUGUUUUCCAAAGAUGGCCACCACCAUAUCUCCAUUCCCCACCAAGAAGUCGGGUCCAUUUCUCUCCCUUCUCCUUGAAUCUAGGAGAGCUCUGUGACUGCUUUGACCAAUACAAGACAGCAGGAGUGAAGGUGGACUCAGCUUUUAACUGGUUCCUGCAGUCCUGACCAGUCAUCAAGCAGCUACUCAGACAGAGAGGCCGCGUGGAGGAGGCUUGAGGCAUCAGUCGUGUGGUGAAGAAGCCAUCUUGGACCCCCAGCCCCGGCUCUUACCUAGAUGCAGCUGCACCAGCUGAGCCCAAUCAACCCGCAGAUCCCUGAGAGAUAAUGAUAAAUAGCUGUGCCUUUGCUCUCAGCCUACCCCUUCGUGCUCCACACCCCAGUGAUAGUGAGAGGAGUACCAGAAACGAAGGGAUGGAAGAAUAGCAGCUGGAGGAGAAGGAUGGAGCAGAAAACAGCGAGUUCAAGAAGGAUUGGGAGAGAAUUUUUGGUGAGGAGCUGAGAGCAAAGCAAGGAGAAAGAUGGUUUGAAGACACUCCAGAAUAUGAGGGAGGUAGAGAGUGAGAGGAAAAGGAGGAAGGGGGUUUUAAGAAACGAUCACUUAGGGGCUGGCCCGGUGGCUGGGUGGUUAAAUUCUCGCGCUCUGCUGCUGCGGCCUGGGGUUUUGCCAGUUCAGAUCCUGGGCGCAGACAUGGCACUGCUCAUCAAGCUAUGCUGAGGCAGCAUCCCACAUGCCACACUAGAAGGACCCAUAACUAAGAAUAUACAACUAUGUACUGGGG